ACCAUAGAAGAGGUCGCUGAUGAGAAUAUAAAGUAUCAGUAAGUAAGUCUCAGUUUUCUCCCAACUAAAUACUACUUGUUUUUCAUAGAAUUACAAGGUAUUAGAGAUAAACAGGAUUAUUAUGUGAAAGGAGAUCUUUUCAAGUUUAAAGCCCUUUUUUUUUUCUUUUUUAGAAAAAAAAUCAAGGCCUGGAAAGGUUCUUUGAUGCACAGUUGACAACUAAUGGCAGAGUGGGCCUAGAAGCUGGGCCUCCUUACUGCCAGACAGAACUCCAGCAUGCUGCCUUCUAUAAUCAGGGUAAUGAGCUAUAGGAUGGUAGAUGAUGCAGCAUUCAAAGACUUGGAAGUAGAAGGUGCCAUGCAUCUAACCAUCAUGGUAUCCACACAACCAGCACCCUCUUCCCUCCUCUCUCCCCAUUGUUCUGUAAGUAGGAGAACGAGAAGGACAUGUUCUCUUUCUGUUGUUUUAUGGUAUUUUGUGGGUAGCAAGUAACAAUAUUAACAAUUAAUAAAAAAAAAAAUUAGAAGGCA
rnacentral:lncRNA from 1 species